ACAUUUACCAUGAUGAUUGUUCAAUAUGCUAAUGUGGUAUUUUUGGCGAUUCUCCUUCUCAAAGUAAACACGGCCCAGGAAGUGUGCCCUGAGGGUUUUAUGAAGCACGGAGAGUCAUGCUAUUUCUUCUCCUCCCACCUGGCGGCAGACUGGAUCGAGGCGGGGGUAAUGUAACAUUACUACGGAACGGUAACUCUGUAAUAUUGAGAUCGAGGCGGGGGUAAUGUACCAUUACUAUGGAACGGUAACUCUGUAAUAUUGAAAACGAGGCGGGGGUAUUGUAACGUUACUGAGGAACGGUAACUCUGUAAUAUUGAGAUCAAGUCGGAGGUAAUGUAGCGUUACUAUGGAACGGUAACUCUAUUAUAUUGAGAUCGAGGCGAGGGUAAUGUAACGUUACUAAUGAAUGGUAACUCUGUCAUAUUUAGAUCGAAGCAAAGAUAAUGUAACUUUUAAUAAGGAACAUUAACUCUGUCACUUUUAGAUCAAGGCAAAGGUAAUGUAACGUUAGAAAGGAACGGUAACUCUGUCAUAUUUAGAUUAAAGCGAGGGCAAUGUAACGUUACUAAGGUACGGUAAACUGUAAAUAUAAAUAUCAAGUUAAAAUCCACUAUUACAUGUAGAAUACUUUCAAACAAGUACAUGUAAGGAUAAACUUGUAAUCUUCAUGUAACUACUUGUAUAUUUUCCGUAUCAACAUGAACGUUCAACCUGACUUAGAUAAUUUACCUUUGAAUAUCUAUAAAAAAUAAUAAACCAAUCAAUGCUUGGACAUGCAUCGUUUUGGGUAAAAACAGAACACAUGUAUAAGGUACAUGUAUAUAAAAUAUAUAUGGUAAUUAAAUGUAAUAAUUAUCGCAUUCAUACGAAUGUGCACGUGAUAAGAAUUGUUGAUUGAUUUUGACAGUUUGUUAUUGUCAUUUUUUCAUUCAUUACAUGAAAAGUAUUAAUUUCCGGUACAGUCUUUCUGCAAGAGAUUCAAUGGAGGAGACCUUGUUGCCAUACAGACGCAAUCCGAGAACGAGUUUAUAUACCAGCAUUUACUCUCUAUACCCCAGCACCGUGACAGUAAGAGUUUAUAUACCAGCAUUUACUCUCUAUACCCCCAGCACCGUGACAGUAAGAACGAGUUUAUAUACCAGCAUUUACUCUCUAUACCCCAGCACCGUGACAGUAAGAGUUUAUAUACCAGCAUUUACUCUCUAUACCCCAGCACCGUGACAGUAAGAGUUUAUAUACCAGCAUUUACUCUCUAUACCCCAGCACCGUGACAGUAAGAGUUUAUAUACCAGCAUUUACUCUCUAUACCCCAGCACCGUGACAGGAAGAGUUUAUAUACCAGCAUUUACUCUCUAUACCUCAGCACCGUGACAGUAAGAGUUUAUAUACCAGCAUUUACUCUCUAUACCCCAGCACCGUGACAGUAAGAGUUUAUAUACCAGCAUUUACUCUCUAUACCCCAGCACCGUGACAGUAAGAACGAGUUUAUAUACCAGCAUUUACUCUCUAUACCCCAGCACCGUGACAGUAAGAGUUUAUAUACCAGCAUUUACUCUCUAUACCCCAUCACCGUGACAGUAAGAACUGUGUUUAAUUAACUGUUACCUGCGUAGAUGAUACGCUAUCUAUAAAACAAUGGGUGCUUUAACUCAUAUUGAUGUUAUUUGACGUAUAGAUGAUUUCUGGAUCGGAGGGACGGACGAGUUUGUAGAGGGACACUGGGUCUGGAUUUCCACGAUGCAGAGACUGGGCUUCACCGACUGGUACCCAGGGAACCCCAGCGACAGCGGCUCCAACGAGGAUUGCCUGGAGAUCAUGGUUGGCCUCUCGGCAUCCCCGCGUCACUACUGGAACGAUGAGGAUUGUUCCAAGAAGGCCAACUUUAUCUGCGAAGUCCCAAUGUCAGAGGGUCUAAUAGUUGGCUAACCUUGACGUCUACCGAUUACUUCAUCCCUAAAAAAUUCGGAAAUAUGUGUGUGGAUCAUCACAUUUAUUAGAAUAUGAAUAUACAUUGAUUUGUACCGAAAUAAAAGUUUCAUCAAACGC
rnacentral:misc_RNA from 1 species